rnacentral:lncRNA from 1 species
UACACUUGACCUAGAGAGCCUUACAUAACGAAGCGUCGGUGCUGGGGAGCUCGCUGAAUGUCAUCACCAGCAAGAAUAAGAAGUAUUGGUAGCAGCAGGCAGGCAGGCAGGCUGGGAGUUUGCAUGGAAAUCAUGAACUCUUUCUUGUCUUUCUCUUUUGAAACGUUUUGGAAUGAGAGAUAAGAAUAGCUCAGAAACUGGUCUCAUUUUUGGUAUGGGAAGAAUGACCAGAAACAUAAAAGCUAAAUCUUCCAGCAAGUGCCAGACACCUCUUUGGGUGUUUGCAGUAAACCUCAUAGGAUGAACUGCUGUCUGUAAAGUCCUGUGCCAUGACACCUGAAAUGAAGGGAAUGGCAAAGCAAAAUACUAACACAAAGGCUGCUACCGAGAGCUUUUUGUCUACCUUUAACUCAUUGUGGUGAGUAGAGGGGACUGUGUAUCUGGAAUGAGAAGAUCUCUGGGGGUGUGAGUUGUUUUGCAGGAUGAUAACUAAAGUGUUUGUAAAGAGUGUUCAUGUUCCUUAAACAUCUUUUUGCAAGCAAGAUGAUAGCAUUUUACUCAUAUAUCAAAUUCAGAAUGUGGUGGGUUAAACCAGUUGUGCUUAAUGUAUUGCAACUUCUGAAAUCUUCAUACAAGUAAUGAGAAAAACUGGGACCUAUCUCUGGUGGUCUGCAGAAAAAUAUCAGAUGUGCUAAUUAAUUACUUAUAUUGUCUGUACUGAAAAAUGAGAUCUGAAUAUCAGCAUCAGAUUUUGCAUACAAUGGAUCUUUGUUAGACUUUGAAAACAAUUUCUCAGAAUGGAGUAAGGGGAUAGCUGUGCUUUUGAGAUAAUCUUUGUUAGACUCACUCCUAGAUAUCUGGGGGAUACUUUAAACAGCAAAUUAAAAACAAUGUUCUCUCCAUCUAAUUUUCAUUCAAUUAUCUCAAAUGUGUGUAAGACAAGUUAUGCCCUUAAAAGCUAGAAAUAAUAAAUUCACUUCCCUGUUCCAAUUCUGAGUACAGUGAUAUGGUAUUAUUAAUAUAGAUGGCAUUAUAUUGUUUAAUUAUAUAUAAAAUUGUGGUUUUAUAUGGGAUGCAGGCUAAGAUGUAUAAUUCCUGAGGCAACAGAAAUAGAGAAGAAGCCAUGCAUCAUUUAAAAAUAAUCUUAAUGUUCUGCUCUUAGCUGGGAAGCUUGUCUGCUAAUGCAUCACAGUGAGCGAGGAAAUAAGAGAAUUAAGGUCUACCAAAGAACAUGGUGAUCUAAUUCCACCUCAUCACUUAACUCAGAAGGAAACUGAGGUAGAAAGAAGUUAAAUGGCAUGCCUAAGCUGACAGAGGAAGAAAUGAGUGGACUGUGGUUUUUCUCUAACCAACCAGUGUUUUGCCAUCAUACUUGAGUAAACAGUUGUCUUUUGAUCCUGAAGUAAGGCCUGAAGCACAAUGAUUUUUUUUUUUUUAAUCAUAGAAACAACAGAAAACAAAGUGCUAGUUUCUGCUUUUUGAGGUAGUCUGAGUUUUGGCAAAACAGUUUCUAUAUUGGAUGGAAUGAGAAAUUGUCUUCAACUGAUUCCCAUGAUGGUGAAAAACAUGUUGGUGCAACAUUUAAUUAAAUCUUCAACUUACGAAAUUGUACUCUGAACACUAAAUGAUGUAAGCCACAAUGGUGGUGGUUCAGAGCCCUUUACUGUGACAUUGUUGAUUAUGGUGCCUCCAUCUCUGAAAGAGCUAAUGUACAUGAAAGUAGACAACCCAUGAGAAGCAAGGAGCUGAAACAUAGAAUGUUUUAAAGAAGGCUUUAUUUUAUUUUGUCAAAUAAACCAAGGCUCUUAUAGUCUAGUGUUGUGUUUCAUCCUUGCAUGGCUGCCCCUGGGACAGUUUACUGGGCCCUCAAAAAUGAAUGAGUAAGUGAAAGGACAAAACAUAUUCAUAAUGUGUUUAUGUAUCUAUUAUGUCCUAAUAGAGUUCUUUGGAGGAGUCAUUUUUAGUACUGCAUGAAAAUGAUUUAUACUAUAUAUGCAUUUCAAAGUUGCCUAAACAGAUGAAAUACUAGUUUGGAAACAGUUUUUACAAAAUUAUUUUUAGCAUUCUACUAAUUAGAUCAACUUGGUAUAAGUUUGGCUGCUGAUAAAAGAUAGUCCAGUGUUCACUAGCUUCACCAAGUAGGGGUUUUAUUUUUCUACAGUGACAUUAAUCUGGAAGUAGGCCUUCAAAGCCUGUUUGGCAGACUCAUAGUCCUAGGAACCUACAUUCAUUUCUCUUUCUUUCAACCACCCAGAGCCUGUGACUUUCUUCCUCCUAUUUGUUUUUGUUUUGUUCCGUUUUCUGGUGUUGUGGAUUGACCCUAGGACAGCAAACUUGUUAAGCAAGAACUCUGCUACUGAGCUACAUCCUCAGCUCCCAUCCCUCUAUUUGUUGCCUCAUGGUUUCAAGAUGGCUGCCUCGUCUCCAGGAUCCUGACUAUAUUCUAGGCAGGAGGACAGGAAGAGAAAGUCAUAAGGCCUAUGCCAGCUAAAGCAGUUCUUUCUCCAAGAACUUUCAGAGGACCACCUAGAGGCCUGGCUUACAUCUAUGGCUGUUUUGUUUUAUUUAUUUAUUUAUUUAUUUAUUUUGUAGUGCUGAGGAUUGAACUCAGGGCCUUAUACAUGCAAGGCAAGCACUCUACUUACUAAGCUUUAUCCCUGGCCCACAUCUAUAGCUCUUAAUUGUAAAAAAAAAAAAAAAAAUACCCAUUUCCCCCUACAGUGAGUUGGUGAGAACUGAAUUUUUAGCUGGUUCUAUUGCCACUCACAAUUAAAGCUGGGGUGCUGUCUUUAAGGCAAACAGGGCACUUCUCCACUGUGAAUUCUCCCUUUGCAAAUAGUCUUGCUUACUUAUAAAAUCCUAAAGUACUCAGUAUAAUCAUUAGUCUAAGCUGGUUUGUAUUCCAAAAGCACAAAAAGGCUUCUAAUUUUUUUAUCUUAUCUUUCAAUGGAAAAAUAUUAUCCUCCUUUUACAAAAGAAUGUUCCUUGAGUAACAGAUGCUUUUAUAAAUAUAGUGUAGUCAAUGUGUACACAUGAAUAUAUCACAGUGAAUUCAACUUUUAUAUACCAAUUUAAAAAACAGUAAAAUAAUAAAAAAAAAUGAAGGAAGACAAGACAACAGAGGAAGGAAGAGGGUCAGGGGAAAGGGGGAAGGGAAGGGACAUGGAAGUACUGGGGGUUGAAAUAGAACAAAUUAUAUUAUAUGCAUAUAUGAAUAAAUCAAAAUGAAUCCCACCGUAUGUGUAGCUAAGAAAAAUAUUUUAAAAAGAGAAAAGUAUGGAGAGACUUUUCAGAAUUAAAAAGAGAAAAGAGUUCAUGGCCACUUUAUUCCCAUAUAUGCCCCCCAAAAUAAGAUCAUCUAAAAUAGCUUCUUCUUGAAGAGAAUGUGACUAUGGAUGAAGAAAGGGGUGCUGAAGUACAGAUCCAACCCUGAGAAUCUCUGAAAUUACUAAGUAAAAUGCUGUCUCACUAAUUUAGAAGAGAGACUUUUGCUAAGUUUUUUCUGUUCUGUUUUCUUAAUGAAAUCAGCAACACUGAAAGGCACGUGGCUCCUCCUGGCUAGUCCAUGGAAGGACUCUAUUGGUUCUGCAGUUUGGUUACAGGAGUGCCUUUCUAGACCAGAAGCUGUUCCUCACGCUAGGACAAGGAAUAACACCGACAUCUUUGAAAGGACUUGGAACAAAAUAGCCCCUCUAUUUAAAAACUUUAGACUUGUGUAGAGUUUCUGGACAGACUAGAAUAGAAGUUCUUAGUUUCCAUUAAACUCAAUUUUUCCAUGGAAGAUAGUUGAGUUCUCACUGCAAUCACCUGGAACGAACCUAGUCCAAAACAAUUGCUUAUCUCACCAACCUCUUCUUCAUUAAAAAGCCACAUGCAAUGCAGUACUCAUUUCACUCAAAUAGAGAAAAAUCUUAGCAGAAAAUCAGACUAGAUUCAGCCUAACUUGAGACCUAAAAAUUAAAAGAUAUUUUAUUAACUGGCAGGUAUGAAUUUUAUAAAUGAUAAACUCAAGGAGAACAAAACUAUCAUUUCUCCAUUUUCUAAUUAAUUUAAUUUCCAUUUUUUACCUAAUGGCAGAGAAUUUAAUUAUUUCUGAGCCCACUCAAUUACAUUAGUACGUUUUUAGUAAUUUCAGGCUUAUCCAUGUAAAAUGUGAGAUUUUAAUUUGCCCUUUAAAUUAGUUAGCAUAACCCUGGCUUCAGCAACACAUUACCUUAGAGUCUAGGUGACUUAGCACAAAGAAACUCCAUUGCUUACUCAUGCAGAUUUCUAUAGCUGCUCCUGGUUGACAAAUAGCAAUCCAUGUGAUCAUUCAUGGUUUCAGGAUCCUCAGUCUUAUGACACCUAUUGCCAGUAGGUAUUCAGAGUCAAUGGAAAGAAGAGAUAAUGAAGAAUUAAGCUCCCCAUCAGCUCAGAAAUGACAUAUGACUGGAUUAUAUUUCAAUAGUGAGAAAGUUGCAUAGCCCCAUGCAUGAAAUGUAAAACUGACAGAUAUCCCUAGCUCAACAUCUACUUCCUAGAAGGAGGAGUCUGGUUUGGUGGUCACCAAGCUAUCUCUGCGUAUCUUUCAUCUUUGCAGUUGAAGCACUUAAAAAAAAAUGCACAUACCCAUGUGUGCACACAUACACAUACAUACAUCUUUUGGCCAAUUAUAGUUUUUGAGGUCAAAGCAGAGAACUGAGAGAAUUUAAUUUAUGUCUAUGUGUAGGAUCCUUUCUUGUAUUGGAGGUUUGAUUGAUUAUGUUUUGCACCUUAAAAUAGGAUUGCUUCCAUUAUCUUCUGUUCAUAGAGAUAAGAGAAACUUUAGUGUAGAUUUUCACAUUUUUAUAUUAUAAUAUGGAGGAUUUUAUAUUUUAGCUUACAUAUUUUAAAUGGCAGCAGUUUCAUAUGCUAUGAGAAACAUGGCUCACCUCCAUUACCCUAAGGGGAUUGUUUCUGAGCCCAUUCUGAUCACAGCAUUCUGCCGAUACCCUGGACAUUACUUCUGCAGUUUAGGCAGAAUAUAAGAGACAAAGAGGUUAGGCAUAAAUCCUGUGUGAGGGAAGCAAGUUUCUCAUAAAUCCUUUGCAGACAUCUUCCUGUGUCUCAUGGGCCAGAAUUGCUAUAUGCGUAUUCAUAGGAGCAAGGAAGGAGGCUGGGAAAACAAAUAAUUUUCAAAUUUGGUUCAUAUGUGCUUCAAACAAAAUUCAUUUCCCUUAUUAAGGAGGAAGGAGAGAAAGAAUAUGAGGCAGACAAGCAAAAAGGUCUACCUCAAAGUCCAGGGAGUUCUGAGAUGAACUGGAAAUAAAGUAUGAAGGAUAUUCUGGAAUAAUGGAUAAAUGUGUUAGAAAUCAGUAGAAAAAUAAACACAUAGUCUGAAAAAAUACAUUACAUCCUUGGAACAGGUAUGUUUAUGAUUAGUGCCAUUGAGCAUGUAUUAGAAUUGACAAGGACAGGUCCACCCUCUGUCUUUUGUGUAAUGGCCUGAGGAAUCUGGUGAUUUUGAAUGAUAUAUUUUCUAAGGGAGUGGGGAGGUUGGGGGAGUAACUGUAUUUAAGGGAUGCCAUAGUCCCAAAUCCAACUUGUCUAUCUAAUAUUUGGACAAUAAAUAAAAUGGUGAAAGCAGAUGUUUUGCCAGACAGGUCGACCUAAUGUGGUGACUAAAGUGGAUGGUGGCCAACACUGAUGAGGUCCUUGUUAGCCCUGGUCAUUGUUGAGGUUUUGAGUUAUGUGUUGCUUUGCAUCAGAAUUGUGUCAAGGAGGGAGGAAAGGAGAAAGAAGGGUAGAGGAAGAAAGAGAAGGAGGGGGGAGAAGGAGUUUAUUGGUGCUGAGAAUGAGCCCCUAGGCAAUCCAGAAAUUACUUUCAUUUAAAAUGGUCAUGUAACUUGGGGGUUACUGAGUAGGGUGUCGGUAGAUAUAUAAUUUUGCUCGAACAUUUUUCUCAGUCUUGGAUUCUCUCUUGAACUCACUGGGAUAAGUACCACUAAGUGAUCUAGUUAGACCAGGAGAAGCACCCUACAAAGACACUUUCCAUUCUUCUUCCCAGCUGCAUCCCUUCAUUAGACCCAAACAUCCUGGAACUUCUCAAAUGAAAUGAGAAUCAUACAGGUUGGGGGUGUGUAUCAGGGUAGAAAGAGCCAAAUUCAAUUUUGGGGCUUUCUAACAUUUUCUCUUUUCCAAAUUGGUUUUGCAAGUGCAAUCACAGAACAUGUAGGUACUGGGUCAUUACCGGAUACAUUAGAUUAUCUCUGAAAAAGUCCUAAGUGCCUGGUAUAACUGCACUGUCUUCUCCUCUGGGAUCCCCUCUCAUCCUAUUUCUAGUCACUCUCACAUAGGUAGUCUUACUAAGGAGCUCCCUUCUAGAUCUAUGGAUAAUUCUCCAAUCAGGUCAAGAAAAAAAGAUAGUUUAUGUUCUCUCUCUCUUAUUUUGGCAAAUAUUUCAAUCUCACUGAAUUGUUUACAGAUAUAAGAAAUUUGUAUGCUAUUCAAUGCCUCUGUUUCAGGCUGUUUCUGUGUUGGGAAAUUUGUCUCCCCUCACCCCAACCCCUGGUCUCAACUUCCUUUUCUGUCUUUUCUCCAAAGUGAAAGGAUACCCGUGUGCUAGUGGUCAUUGGUGAUACCUAGGAGACUUAAGAACCAGUUUUUAAACAGCGUUUGCAGAUUGAUUCCUCUGUCCCCACCUCAACAGAAAUGAUCAUGCUCAUUGGGAUCUUACUGUGGCCUACAAAAUCUUAGUGAGCUUAUAAUACACUUAUUGAACAUGUUUGUUUACAUAUCAUUAAUCUCAACCAAUCUGAUUAAACGUUAAAAAAACCAAAUAAUGUGAAUUAUUUUUCCUUGUAUUUCUAGCACCUAGAGCAGAGCCUUACUAGAACACAGUAUAUACUGAAUAACUGUUCAUUAUACUAAAGUUGUGAUUAUCAAUAAAAAAUGAAGAGGAGCCCCAACUACUUUAAGAAGGCAGAACACAUGCAAACAUGAAUUCAUUAAAUAGAAAAUGUUAGUGGUUAUGAUAUAUUGAUUAUAAAAUAAUGCCUCACUUUUUAAGAGAUUCCCAAAUUUUCAUUGAAAAUGUCAUUUAAUAAUUGUCCUUAUUGUUUUGUUUUUCCUAGAAGUCUAUUUUUUAAAAAUUAGCAAUAUAUUUGUACUUUAAAAAUCCAAUUAUAUUCAUGGUUUAAUUUUUAAAAAUAAUUAUAAUGAGGUUAUAGUAAGAUCCACUUGGACUAUUCUGUACAUAUUUUAUUAAGUAAUUUGUAAGUAUUCAAUAUUUUUUUUUGAGAAGCUAGGCAUUGGUAAUCUACUGUUUAAAAUAUUCUAUAAAUUACAGGAUGACAUCUAGUCUUUGACACUGGUCUUUAAACUCAAUGUUUUCCCCCUAUAUUACAUGAGAUGUUUUAUUUUCCCAAGACUAUCACAUUGGUUUAUUGUUUACUGUUUUAAUAACCUGAUCAUACGUAUUAAACAUAAUUCACCACUCCACUCCACAUCCCCCUUAAAAAGGGGGAGAAAGAGUGCACAUGAUUAUUCCAGAUCUGUUAGGUUGCCAAUUCUUUGCUUUCUAAACUCUGCUUCUCAAAGUCUUUAGUCACUUCUAGUCUGAGUUUCAAACUAAGCUAUUGUACUUUGAACACAGUCUUACGUUUUGAUGUGAAGAUUUGUGAGUGUGUGAUGCUCCAACCCAGCAGAGCUCCCUCUGCUGAUGGCUAGAGUUCUCCAAGAGAGGGAGAGAACUAAAGUAAAUCUGUAUUUUCUGAACUGGGUACUCCAGACCAAACCUUUUCUGUUUGUACUUUUUACUUGAUCUCUUUUCUACCUCCAAUUCUUUAGUUGGUAAAAAGACAUGGAAAAAUUAGACACCUUGUCUGAGUUCCCAUACCUAGUGGACAGUAGUACCUGACCAACAAUUUCUUAACAGGAGCCAAAUAAAUGAAAAAAAAUCAACAUAACUGAAGAGAACGAUAAACAGUCAAGCUUUUUUCAUAGAUACAACAGGAUUAUGCAAAAUCUAGACUGAUUUAAGAGUUAACAAAAGCUGUAAAUGUUCUCCUCAUGGACACUGUAUACCCUGAGAAUUCUUCCUGCUCUUUUAUAAGUGAAGAAGCUGAUGAGAAUGUAGGGUAAUGACAGAUAAGUGCUGAUCAUAAUUCAUAUUAGUAUGAAUAUGCUUAAUACGUUACAGAGCAUAAUCAUUUAUUUGAUCGUCUAGAAGCCUGGAUUCUUUCCAGGUCCAUGUGUGGUAUGUAAAGUAGUCACUGACCUGAUUCUCUGUCUCUAUUUAGAUGGAACCCAAGGUGGCAGCAUGUUGAACUCUGCAUGUGGCUCUCUUUGCAGCAUAUCAUGCUACAGGGUUCUACUAACCUAGUGCAGGGCUGCAUAGAUGCGAGGUGAGAAAUGGGAGUGAAGGUUAUCUAAUUCUAACCAAACCUGCCAUGCAGAAUCUCUGCUACCAUUUUGAGUUCCCUUUUGGAAUUUUGAAAGCAAAGUUUAUAAUUCCAGACAUGGGCUAAGACUGUAAAAUCAAGUGAGGAAGAGAUCUGCAGAAAAGCCAAUCUCUGGCAUAGUAAAUAAUAAUUAAUCCCCAGAUGAUUUUUAUUUUAGGGAAUAAAAUCUUAGAAAUGAUUAGUCAAUGAGCUAAACAGCUGCAAAUAUCUUCAGAUUUAAGAGCAUUGCCCUCUUUGCAGAGUAUAGGCAAUAGAGCAUCAAAGGCAAGUACAUUUUGCACAUACAAGGAAUAACUCUGACAGCAGACUUAAUUAGGUAGAAAAAAAUGCCUUUAAUUUCAGUAGUGAGGCACAUUAUAAAUCAACCAUUCAUAGGAUUCAGAGGCUGGAUGGAAGUUCAAUUUUGCUAUUGUCCCACAUAGCUAACUUGGUCAACAAAGAAGAUGAAAUUUGACUUUCAUUGAUGGUAUUUUAAAAAGAAGAGUAUUUCUGGAACACAUUCAGAACACAUUAUUUCUUUAGUAAUGUAAGAAUUUUAAAGGUUAAUAUAUUAGUGGUUUUCUACUUUUUGAACCCUAAUAAAUUUUUGGCUUUCUUUAAUGAACAAUAACAUUUGAUAUAUUUCCAAGUUUGAAAACAUAAGCUGUAUCAUUUCUUUUUUUCUUUUUUUUUUGGGGGGGGGUACCAGGGAUUGAAUCCAGGGGCGUUUAACCACAGAGUCACAUCUCCAGCCCUUUUUUAAAUACUUUAUUUAGAGAUAGGGUCUCACUAAGUUGCUGAGACUCCCCAGCUGCUUGGAUUAUAGGCAUGCACCACCAUACCUGGAUGCUAUUUUAUUUCUUAACAUAAACUUAUGUUAGAGAACAAAACAUUGAAAAUAUACAAAAAAAAACCCACAAACAUCUUACCAAUAUUCUAUAAGUCAUCCUGUUUUUUUUUUUUUUUAACAUCCAAGGGGAAAAAUUGGGAGGAUGAGGAGAUAAUAAGACAUUUCUAGUAGAAUUGCUGUAAAAUUUAGUGGGGUUAUGUAUCUGAAAAUGUGAAGGACUUCCAAUAGUGUUCACUUCUAUUACUCUUGCUGACCUUACACAAAGACAGGAAUUUUGAUGUCUAGCAAGCCAGAGGAAGAGUAUGUUUAGCUAGGGAAAUCUUCAGAUUCAAUUAAGUUAUAAAUAUUUUCUUUGAUUUUUAAAAAUUUCUUUCUAUCCUGAAAAUGUGGGAGGGAUGGGUGAAUUUCUUAUUUAUACAGGAAGUCAACUUUCAGCAUAUGUACUGACCAAUAAUCAAAUAAAUGACAAGAUUUUCAAACUGUUCAUACUUCUAAUUCACUUUGCCAUCUGCUGUUCAAAUUACCUUUCCUAAGAGCAAGGAGCAUUUGUUGACUACCCUCCCAGUUCCCCUGACUUCUCAACAUUUUAAUCUUUUUGCAAUGUUUAAGGUCUGGUAAAUAUAUAGCAUGGACAAUAUUAUACUGUGUGAUCAGUGUUGGGUGCUGGAAAUAUGAUACAAUGAAGUUUCAAGGAUAACAAGACUGCUUCCUCCUUGGUGGUCUGAGAGAUCUUGAGUAAAAUGGGAUUUGGGUAAGGAAGUGGAGGUGGGGACAUCACAGGAGAAAGUAGAAUAUUUAGCCUUCCUUGAAGGAAAAGAGGAAAGAAAAGAAUAUUCCAGAAAGAAAAAAUAGGUCAGUUUAUCCAGAGCUAAGAGUUUGUGCAUUAUUAUGAUUAAUCACAGUAGCAGUUGCCAAGCUUUCAUCAUAAAAAUAUUCUCCAGGAGAAUUCAUCAAGUUCUAUUGCCUAUUAAUUUCUGUUGAUGCAUUUAUUUGGCAUCUUCAAUGACAGAGGACACUUGUUUUGCUUUUUAAUGAAGGUUAAAAGAUAAAGUUCAUUAAAGAAAUGGUUUAUGUAUGAUAUUUUAAAACAAUGUUAUUGCCCCAAGCAAAUUAUAAAUAUUUGGUUUUAGUAGGAGUUUGCAGUGUGCCCUUGAAAUUUCCAAAUAUAUGGCUUGGCAUUUUUACUUGGUACAUAUUGAUUGAUAGUGUUUUGAAUUCUUAUGUCUAUUAUUUAUCAAGAAGUUAUGAAACAAAACAAUGCAUUGUUGUAGCACAUAUUCUGAAUUUGAAAUUAAAACAACUUGGUUUAUAAUCCUAUUUUUAUGAUUAAAUACUCUUUUUUUGUAUGACCUUGAAUAUAUUUCUCAUCUGUGAAUGCAUAAUUAUGAACAAAGUAAGUGAGUUUGAACAUAAAUACAUUUUAAUCCCUUCAAGGCCAGAAAAGUAUAUAAUAUAGUUUUAAAAGAAAGCACAAUCCUGUAUUAAUUUUAUCCUUAAAAAACACAUUUGUGAUGAAUGGGAUUUGCUCUGUACAAAUCAUUUUUCCCCCUUUGAUAGCUAGAGAAUUUUUCUAGGGCUGCAAACCAGCUUUUGGCCUAGUUAAAUCUUAAUGUCAAAACCAACUUCCUCAAGAAACUUAAUGAGACAAAGGAAGAUUUUAAAAGGAUGACCUCUUUGCUCCUGGUACAGAUUUGCAAGGAAUCCUGAAAUAUAUAUAAUUUAACAUUGAUCACAGCUCAAGAUUCUUAGUUCAAAAGUAUGUCACAGAACCACACUUGACCUAAAUGACCUUUUGUAAAAGAUAAUAAUGUAUUCAAGCCUAACUCCUGGAACUGGCUAAGGGACACCACCCUUGAGAAGAGUGUGCACCAUCUUUCACAGGAGGAUUACUGCUGAUGCAUGUUUGCCUACUUAGGAACACAACUGGAAAAUCCCUCUGGCAACAUUACCAUCUCUUCUUAAUUUCUCAUCAGGAAGACUGAACCCCAACUUUGGGCCCAAAUGUGUGAAAGAAGGCUUUUGCAGAUAUGUGCUAGCAGAGACUACUGAUUAAGCAUUUCUGAUACAUCUCUAGCAACAGAAUACAGGGGGAUUAUCUCACAACUCCCGCAGGUUUCUGCAUAUUCAUGGUUUCGUAUAGCUGAGAAACUAUUUUAGACAUUUUUUCAUAAGCCCGUGUCCUAUAUGGGCUUGUAAUUCUAGCUACACAUAAAUAAAUAACGUCAGGGCUAAUAGUACAUACACUUUUUGUUGUGAGGUAAUUUUCCCCAAAUGCCUAUUCCUAUACAUUUUUAAUUCCCUCAGAAUAAAUCGAAGCUUUCUUUUACAAAGUGGUUAAUGAAAGAGUAAGUCUUUUUAUUCUGUUUUUACAGUUGACAAGAGUAAAAGUAUAUGCUAUAUUUUUAAGGUUUGGGCAUAUAGAGACCCUAGCUUUAUUCCCCAAAGCAGAUUUGAGCUUCUCCUUUUUUAAUAUCACUUUUUAAUAUUUAAAUAUUUGAAUAUUAUAUAAAGCAAAAUAAGACUUAGAUUACAAAAAACUAUAAUUCAAAAUAAACUUGAAUUACAUAAUCAUUUGUAGUUAGCCAAUUUGUCAUAUCAAAAUCACAAUAAAACACAAGCUGAUUUAAAUCAAAAUUCCUGCUUUGCCAAUGAAUAAUGUUGUGGCUUCUGUGAUUCCUUUAGAUUUUCUGUCUUUUUUCUCAUCUGUUAAAUGGGGAUGAUAAUCUGAAUAAAAUAAAUAAAAUGAUGAGAUAAUAUUCUUGGUAUAUCAAACGCAUUAAAUAACUACUAUUCUCCCACUGCCUGCUUAAUCAUGUUGAAAGCACAGGGUGAGAAUAUGUAAAUGCUUCAUUAACAAAAGAAAGACAAACUCAUGGUCUUAUUCUAGAACUUGUUUUUUUUCCACACAUGAUAAACCUUUCUAUCUUGAUCUCUUUGUUUGCUACAAAUAUCACCCAAAUUAUGAUAGCUCAGUAAAUUUUAUUUCUGGUCCAAAUCAUUUUCCUGAGCUCCAGACAAGGAUAUCUGCAUGCUCUUUAGUAAUCUCCAUAAAUAUGUCUCUGUUCAAUUCACUUCCAAUUUGAGGUUUCCAAAUCUGAGUUUAGCAUCUACACCAAAGUGCAUACUGUUCUCUUUAAAAUAUAUAUAUAUAUAUAUAUAUAUAUAUAUAUAUAUAUAUAUAUAUAUAACAAAUAAUUGGUUUAUGACAUAUCAUCUUUCAUACAUUUGAUUCAAGUGGGUUAUGAACUCCCAUUUUUACCUCAAAUACAAGUUGCAGAAUCACAUCGGUUACACAUCCACAUUUUUACAUAAUGCCAUAUUAGUGACUAUUGUAUUCUGCUACCUUUCCUAUCCCCUACUAUCCCCCCUCCUCUUCCCUCCCAUCUUCCCUCUCUACCCCAUCUGCUGUUAUAAAUGUGAGUUUUUAAAAGCUAAUCACUAAGUCCUACUCCUAGUACUUCUUUCAAAUUCACCUGCAACUCUCCAUUGUUACUGCUACUGCCCUGCUUUGCAAUGUUAUCAUCUCUUGCCAGAGAUUUUGCAACCAACGUUUAACUGAUCUCUCUAACCACAGUCACACUUCUCUCCAGUUUGUUGCUUUUGUUCCAACCAGAAAAAAAAAUUUCUAACUAUAUAACAAAUAGUGUCUUUUCCAUGCCUUAAGUCCAAGCUUACCAUUGUCCUGUCUCUGGGACUUUCUCUAAAGAGAACCUACUAGCCCUACAUACUUCUGGAGGGUGGCCUAUAUCUAUCUAAUGCUUAUUUUGUUUGGGCUUGUAAAAUCUCAGCCCCCUCUCCUAGUCUGCAGACCCAUCUCAAUUUUACAACUCCCUAAGAAACUGGCUGAAGUCUUUGUUGUGACCACAUUACAGGCAAAUUUCUCCCUAUACACAUAAAGAGAAGUUGGACAUUUUUCUUCCUUGCUGCCCCACACGUAUUGGUUUUGAGAGUUCUUCCCAAUAUACUUUCUGCAUGAAAACUUCAACUCCUGAGUCUGUUUCCAGGGAACCCCUGUCACACAAAAAAGUCAUGAGCUGUUUAGCAUUCCCAUGAUAUAUUGUAUACUUGCCAGCUUUUUUGCCACUGUGACUAAAACACAGGAUAAAACAAUUUAGAGGGAGAAAGACUGAGUUUGGACUCAUGGUCUCAGUCUGUGAUUGGCCAAUUUCAUUGCUCUGGGCCUGCAGUGAGGCAGCAUAUCAAUGCACAAACUAGUAACCGAGGAAACUGCUCAGCUCAUGGUGGCUGGGAAGCACAGACAGAGCAAGGAGUCAGACACCAAAUGUAAUUCCCAAGGGCACUCUGCCUCCCAUGACCUACUUCCUUCAACCAUGCCCACCUGCGUGCAGUUACCGCUCAGUAAUCCACUCAAACUAUUAAUCCAUCAAAUGGCUUAAUCUACUGAUUAGUUUACAGCUCUCAUCAUCUAAUCAUUUCAGCUCUGAAUGUUCCUGCAUUGCCAAAUGAGCAUCACAUAUUUAAUCACUUCUUUCCUUUUCGCUCUGUCCUUCCUCCAGUCUGACCUAAUGUCAGUUCUUCAAAUACAUGGUGCUCUGGGUUUGAACCUUGGCACUUGAUGUUUUCUCUGACCAAGCUCUCGUGUCCCUCAAUCUUUUGGUUUCUGCUAAGUAUUACUUCUUUUAGGAAGUAAAAGUUUCUGGUUACGAACCUGUCCCUUGUGCCUUCUGGUGUUUCCUUUCUUAUAGCAGUCACUAAUUCCACAUCUUACUAGCCCUGUCUGGUCCAUGUUAUUGCCUGGCUGUGGGCUCUAUGAGGAAAGGGAAUUGUUCCCUACCAAGGUACAACAUUGCUACAUUUUGUUAAUUUGUCUCUUCCCAGGUUCACCAUGAAACACUACCUUCCCCAUACAAAAUUCCUAUCCACUUUGAACCAAUUAGCAUUAAUAACUAUGUGACUUCAAAAAAAGUAUUCAAAUGAGAGCAAGGACCAGAUCCUAAAGGCAUCCUUACCUGGCAACCUGCCACUCUCUGCGUUCACAAUUGACCCAAUUGUGCUUCCAGCCUCAAAGCCCAUAAUGUGUUAUGGGGCCAGUUCUGCCUCAGGGUUAAAGCCUAAGUAUAAAAUUCCAGUUUUAAAUAAAUCCUUUGCACAAUGCUCAUUUCAUCUGCUUUGUUUCUAAACUGAUUAUAGAAUUUGCUCACCAGAAUGAGCCUUGAUCUAUAAAACCUCACAGCUGUAUGCAUUGGACUAACACGCACGCCUCUUGUUCCAUUUGUUCUUUACUAGGAAGCCUAAUUUUCAUUAUUCUUUUCGCAAUAAUAGUGACAAAAUUCACUUUGGGCAAAUUACCUCUCCCCAUUUUUGUAUAUAGCAAGGUGUCUUACUUCUGUUGGUCAAAGAGGAGAGUAAAAACUCAAAUUAGACCAGUUCUCUCCCAAAACUGAGAACUUGAGCAGACUGAGCAUGGGUGAGAAAAAGUGGCCAUUCAAUCUCCAGUCCCUCAAAAAAAGAAAAAUUGGCCAGAGUCUAUUCACUUUGUUGGUAACACCCUGGCUCUGGUGGCCAGCUGCUCCAACCAAUAGUCUCAUUUUUAUCUUUUUCCUGAGUCUUCUUGAGCUUUAUUAUGAAUUUUGAAUGAUAAAAUAUCCCUAGGAUACAUUACUUUCUGCUUAAGUUAGCCAGAGUUGAUUUCUGUUGUAACUGAAGAAUUGUAAGUGAUAUUCAUUUCUUUUCUAAGUGUAAUUGUACAUUCAUUAUGGAACUUAACCAACAUAUUUACUUCUGAAUAUGUCUUUUUGGGUAAAUUUUGAGAUAGUUUCAAAGAGGAACCUGUCUACCAGUGUAGAUUACAGGCCUAGUUAAAGAGAGAAGUGAAUUAGCAAAUGGUAUUUCUGGUUUAUGCAAUAAACGUUGUUUGGAUAUCUCCAUAUUGAAAGAUAUUUUCACCAUCUAAUAAAGUCUUAUUAGACAUAACUACAGAAACUUAAAAGUCAAGUAAAAAUAAAACUUCAUGAUAAAUGUCAUUCGGCAAUAGUGUGAUUCAUUGCCAAAUGGGAAAUAGAGUGGAGAUAAGAGUGCUGGGAUGUCAGAGGCAGGUGCAAGACCUAUGUGCAGAAGCAAGCUGAGAAAAUUUCAAAAAGACCUGGAAGAGGUAAGAUUGGACUGAUUCAAGAAGAAUGGGGUGUCCAGUGAGCAUCCCUCAACCCUACAAAGCAUGCCAUACCAUAAGAAGGGGACAAAUGGAGAGGACACGUGAUCACCAUACUCCCAAACAGGCCUCCAACAUAUUUGUACUUCUACAUUCUCCAAUACAUCACUCAAGUUAGCUUUUGAAUUUCUGUUUGUUCAGCUCAUCUGAUCUGGUAAGUCAUUUGAUCAAAUCUCAGAGCUUUUGAUCCUCCUACUUUACUUCCAAGUUGAGAAUUGCCUCUUUUUUCCAUAUUGAUUUUGGAGUGUCCCCUCGGUAAUGCCCUUCUUCCAAUUGGCUCCUCUCCUGACACAAAGCUGUCUUUUUUGAGCAGCACAUUCUGGCUACAAACCAAGAUUUUCUCCUCUACAAACCCCCAAGGAUGUACUCAAAUAACUGGGAGAACUUGGAUAAACAGAGGGAAAGAUAUUCAAGAGUGUAAAGCACAUGCAAAAUAGUAGGAACCAGGAAUAAAUGCAGAGAUGCAUAUGCCAUGUUCUGUGGGGCAGCACAGAACUGGGAUUAUAGGAACAAAUGGUAGAAUUGUGGUGGAGUAAAUAAAGCUUAUAGAAGUCAACUUAUAAAAGCAUAGCACCAGAAUAAUCAGUCUAGAUUUUAUUGUUUGUAGUAGGGGCACACCAAAUGUCCUCAAUCAGCUAUAUAACCAUCUAUAUAUAUAUAUAUGUUGGGCUUUUUGUUGUUGUUGUUGUUAGAGAGAGAGAGAGAGAGAGAGAGAGAGAGAGAGAGAGUAUUUUAAUAUUUAUUUUUUAGUUUUCGGCAGACACAACAUCUUUGUUUGUAUGUGGUGCUGAGGAUCGAACCCAGGCCACACGCAUGCCAGGCGAGCGUGCUACCGCUUGAGCCACAUCCCCAGCCCUAUGUUGGGCUUUAGAAAGAUUAAUUUGGGAACAUUAUGCCCAAUAGGUUGAAAAAAGAAAGGUCUUACAAUCAUGUAAAUAUGAGGAGAUGAGCACCUUAGCUAAGACAGUGAAAGUAGGUAUAGAACUAAGUGACUGAGAUCAAGAGGUAUGGCGAUGUCACUGAGAUCCUCAAAUGGAUUAUUGUUCUGUGUUUACAUGGAGUAAAUGAUCAAUGACUGUUCUGUAGAUUUCAGAUGGAGCCAUGACAAUAAUAAAAAAAAAUGUUCUUAUUAUUUUAUUCAGAAAGUUUUCAAAAUUGUCUCAUUCUUCAAAAUUCUUUUUCUUGGUCCUUACCAAUUUGAACAUUUUCCUUCUCUUGCCUGAUUGCUUUGUUUUGGACUAUGAGUAUUAUGUUGAAAAGAAAUAGUAAAAGUGGGUAUCCUUGUGUACUUCUGAAUUUUGACACAUGAUUGCUAUAUAACACUUAGAGGAGCAGCUUUCAAACUUUUCCCUUUCAGUGUGAUGUUAGCUGUGGAAUUGUUGUAGAUUGGCUUUUUUUGUGUCAGGGGUUUUUCUUUCUAUUCCUGAAUCAUUGAGUUUUAUCAUAAAGGGGUGUUGAGUUUUGUCUAAGGUAUUUUCUGUAUCUGUUGAAGUGUCUUUUUUCUUUCAUUAUCUUCAUGGGAUGUCAUGUUCAUUGACCUGUGUAUGUGCAAACAUCUUUGCAUCCCUAGGAACCCAUUUUAUCAUAGCAAAAAAAUAUUUUUUAUGUGCUAUGGUAGUUAAAUUAACUCUGUUUGCAGUUUAUAUGAUCAUACAAAUAUAAAAUGUUAAAGACUCCACUAAAAACUGUUAGAACUAGUACAUGAAUUCAGUAAAGUUGCAGAAUACAAAAUCAACAUACAAAAAUAAGUAAUAUUUCUAGAAUACACUCACAGCAAACUAUCUGAAAAAGAAAUCAAGAAAACAAUUCCAUUACAGUAAUUAUCAAAAAUAGGAAUAACAUCUACAAAGGAGGUGAGAUAUUUCUACAAAAAUUAUAAAACAUUGAUGAAAAAAAUGAAGACAUAUUUGAAAAGACAUAUAUGAAAAGACAUAUUUUCAAAUACAUAGACACACUCAUUCUAAGUGUAUAUAAGACUAGUACAUGAAUAUAUAUGUGAGGCUACUUAAGGUAGAACUUUGAAUCUCAUGGGGACCUGCCCUCAGGACCACUGGGUUACUUUACUAAAUAUUUGUCAUUGAGGUCUCUGUACAUAUUUUAUUUUGGAAUAUCUCUCCUGUCUGGGUUGAUAUUUGGAAGCAGGAAUACCUGAUGGUUUUGUUUUUGUCUUUGCUAAGAAGCAGCACACAAAAUUGAGCUUCACUCUCUUCUUUGUGCUAAAAAAAGAAAGAAAGAAAGAAAGAAACAAAGAGACAAAGAAAAAGAAAGAAAGAAAAUAAUACAGUCUGUAUAUGUAGAACUCUAGAGUAAAACUUUUUGUUGUUGUUCAGGAUCAAUGCUUUCAUUAGAGAAAGAAAGAAGACAGAUGAUGAUAGGUAGCUAAGUAGGUAGGUAGAUAGAUAGACAGAGACACUGAGACAAUAGAGUGUUCUCUAAGAUGAACCAAAUAUAAUACUGAGUUGACAGCUGGCAAUUAUAAGAAAUAAAAUCUCUUAAAUUACUGUGUAACACCAUGACCCUUUCCAGAUCACAUGAAAACACAAAUAUCAAAUUUAUUUAUCUACAGAGAAAAAAUGGGAAGAAGUGCAUCAGAAUGUAAUCUUUUUAAAAUUUUAUCUUAGGGAAUAUGACUUUGUCUUUUGCUCCCUUCCUCAUGGAUUUCUUUGCUUUUCAAAUUUUUACAGAGGACACAUUGUUACCUUAGCUAUAAUACAAUUACUACUAGAUAUUAAGGAGAUAAUAAUUUCAUGUUUUUGUCGUGCUAUGUGUUCCCAAAAUAUGUCAGGGAAUGCAAACCCCUUUUAAAUACUGAUGCGAUUUGUCUGGUGUAGUGAAAUAUGUUUAAGAAGUCUCCCUGAGCUAGCAGAAAUUAUAGGCAUCCGAUCUGUGAUUUGGUUCAUGAUGGCUCUUACUUUUCCUUUAUGCCACGUCAAUAUCAAAGCACACAGGAUAAAAACCAGACAUGGAUACAAAUAAACAAGAGGAUGUAGGCUCCCCUCACCUGCUGCGGGUCCCAGCCCUCUUCCUUGGUAAGGCACAUCCAAAAAGCCACCUAUGAACAGUUGCUUAAGGGUAACAUAACAGAACUCCAGAGCUGCAGACUGGCUUUCUUUGUUUUUAGGGGCCAAGUAACAAUUUAAGACAUACCUUAUCAUAUAGGAUGCUUUUUGCUAUGUACAAUUAUAUAAGUGUUGGGUUCAUUUCUUUCUUUUUAAAUUUGUUCUUUUUAGAUAUACAUGACAGUAGAGUGUAUUUUGGCAUAUUAUACAUACAUGGAGUAUAACUUAUUCUAAUCAGGAUCUUAUUCUUGUGGUUAUACAUGACAUGGAGUUACCCUGGUCAUGUUUUCACAUGUAAGGAGAGGACAAUUAUGUCUGAUUCAUUCUACUUUCUUUCCUAUUCCCACCCCUCUUUCCUCCGCUUCAUUCCCCUUUAACUAAUUCAGUGGACUUCUAUUCUUCCCUCCCCAUCGUCCCUUCUUUUCAACCCCAUUGAUAGCCCUUUACAGUGAAAUCUAUGGAACUUAUAAUACUUGGUGCUAAGGUGUUGCUGACCUGGUCUCCCUCACUGUUUUGCCCUCCUUGGUCCUCCCUUACUUCAGUGGACUUUUUGGGCCGUUUUAGAGGGACAAAAAUAAUGGGCCUCUUUUAAGUAUGGAUCUUAGUACUGUAAGUACUGUAAAAACAAAAAGUAGAUUCCCAGAAAACAGUAAUGCUCAGGUACGUCAUAACAAUUCAGAGUGAGGAGGAGGAUUCAGGAACAUGAAAUUUACAGCAGAAGAUGAUUGAUGAUCGGCUCUCUCUCCUUCCACCUACAAACCUCCUCCUGCUAUGGGAAUGAGAAGAAACUUGGAUUGUUGUAAACAAUUUAGUACAAAUUAAAGAUAUGCAGGAUACCGAAGAAGGAAAGGGACCAAGAAGAAAUUUGUUAUAAAUAUUGAAUAAUGAAUAAAUUAGAUGAGAUCACUUAGGAUCUGACAUAUACAUGUCCAACUACUAUAUACUGUUAUUAUUAUUAAAGGCUGAAACUAUUAUCUGUUUUAUUCACUGCUGUUCAGUGCCUACAACAGUACCUAACACAUAGUAGAGAAUAAUAAAUAUGUAUUGAGUAUCAAUUGAAUUACUUACCUUAUAAAAAUAAAAAAUAAUAAUUAUGCUGUAAAAAUCAUACUGCCCAAAAUGGCCCAUUUUAAUGUAUUGAUUGAACCAAAGAACAUGGACAAAUUAUGUUAUGUUGGCCAAAGGAGCAUCAAACAGACUGGGUACAGGGAGAAUAAGGUUUAUGAAUGAUUUAUUCAUAUUUAUUAAAUUCAUAAGGUUUAUGCCCAAACAGUAUAUUAUUUUUUUUUCAUUUAGAUACAAAUCUUUUAUAUUCAUUUAAAAUUAACUUGGUUUGGGAGGCUGAGGCAGGAGGAUUGUGAGUUCAAAGCCAGCCUUAGCAACUUAGUAAGGCCCUAAGCAACUUAGUGAGAUUCUGUUUCAGAAAAAAAAAAAAAAUUAACAAUUUUUUGUCACUAAGUUUUAUUCCUACUAAGUUAAGCCCAGAUGCCUCAAAAGAUUUCAUGCUGACUGGAUCUAGAUGUAUGGACAGCUUCUUUCUGAUAGACAUGACACAUCUCUAAGAACCAAACUUUGUUGAUGGGUUCUUGGGGCGAUCCAUAAUUUCUGAUGGCUAUUUUAGGAUAAAUUUCUUUCAAAUUACACAAAGGAAGGAAGAAAUCACGACACAGCAUAUCUGUUUAAAGUCGAAGCGGCAGCAGCACAGGGCCGAGGGAAGAAGUAACAAAAAGUAAGAACAGGAACCUACAAGGGAAAAUUAGGAGGGAGGAAGAGGUGACAGCACCAUCCGCCCAGAGAGGGCAGCAUUAAAAAGAUGGGAGGCUGGAGCUAUUACUCUAUUGGUACUCUGUUGGUAGAGUGCUUGCCUCUAAUGCACAAGGCCCUGGGUUCAAUUCCCAGCACCCCCCCCCCACACACACACACACACAAUAGAGAAAUAGAUUUAAACAAUCAACAAAGUAGAAUUCUGAGACCAAAAAAAAAAAGUCAAUUUUUUCUAAUUAAAAUGUUUCCUUAUUCUUUCACAAACUUAUGCUACACUAGUUUGUGGAAUAUGAAACUGAACUUCAUUCUGGAUCCUGAAAAGUCUUUGUUUCUUUGGCCAGAAGAUGGAGCCAUUUCAUAAAGAAUUUUUAAAACUUGCAGAACAAAACCAAAUCACAAUUUGACUCGUAUUCUUGUAAAAUAUUUUAUGAAAAAUGAUUCCUCUGUCUUUUUGAUUUAACCUCAUAGACACAGAGAAAUAAUACAUCACUAGGCAACCGGCAAAAGCAUAGCGAGUGUUUGCACAGAGGGUUCACUGCUUCUGUCUGCAGUGAGUGAAUUCCAUGAGGCACCUGGACUGUAAAGCAAGCUGUUACAUGUCUACACCUCAAAAUUAUCAUCACAUUGGUUACCCUGGACCAAAGGAAAAAGUACCAAUCAAGCAGCAUUUGAGAUGCUACUGUCUCACAUUCUUAUUUUGGGGUUUUCAAUAAAGCAGAUAAUCUUGGACUAUAUUUUGAAAAUGGGAGGUGCUCCAAUUUAUUUUAUCCCUAGUGUACCAUAUAUAAGCAUCACUGUCAUUAUAUCAUGAAAACUAACUUUCUGUACAACUUAAAAUUUUUCUAAGCAUUUUCCAACUUUCUUUAUACAAUGCAUAUGAUAAUCUAUACUUUACAGAACAGGAAAAAAAUAUAGAAGUUAAAAGUCAUUCAACCCUGUAUGAUCAUACACUUAGUUAAUAGCAGAGGUGGAGACCCAAAGGAGCUUCCUUACUCAUUGCAGAGGCACAGUCUACUGAGUGUCUUAGCUGACACUCCAACUUCCCCCGCCCGAUUACGCUUGAAACAAACUAGAAAAACAAAACAAAACAAAACAAAAACGACCGAGUGACUGUUUUCAGGCUGGUUUCAGGAAGGAACACUGGGAGUUGUGCAAAGAAUCUAGCACCUUUAAAUGAAAAUCCAGAGCAGUUUCAAUUGGUUAUCAAACUUAGGUGCAAAUUAGAAUCACCUUUAGUUAUUUCUUGUUUCAGGUGUCUGCUCUUCUUUGUGUUCAGUAUGUUAAUGGUGUAAGGAGAUAUAUAAUUAAAUAAAAUAAAGGAACCAGAAAGAGAAAAAAAGAAAAAAGAAGUAGAAAGAGGGUCUCCACGAUUUUCUUGCUGAACUCUGAUUAACUUUCUACUUUUAGGAAUCUCAAUCAAGUAAUUAUAUACUCCAUGGACAGCUGAUGCUAGAAAUAAAAUUCGCAUCAUCUGUGAGACAUCCAGGAUGUUCAGAAAAUAGCCAUGAUCUUAAGAAGCAGCUCAAUGCUUAACAAAAUUCUUAUUUUGUUUGUUGCUUUUCAUUGUUGUAGACUUUGUUGAUUACCAUUCCUGGAUAGAUAUGAAAGGUUUGGUCCCUGGAGUCAGAGUCAUCUGGAUUUGAACUCUGGUUUCACUCUUCAUGAUGUAUAUUCUUGGCAAGUAACCCAAAGUUUUUUCCUUUUCUGACAUGUGAUUAGCCAGCCAAUUUUGCAAGGUGUGCUAAAGUAGGAGAGAUCGAAUAUGAAAGGCUUCAUCCUAUUUUUGACAUAUGGAAUACAUCAGCAUUGUGCUGGAGCCAGCCUGGGCCAGCUGGAGAGGGCAAAGGAACACAGUUUCUCCCGACUUCACAUUCAGUGACUUUAGGUUGAUUGCUUGGAAUAGGUCAUGGUGUGGGUAUUUCCAUCAUAGUAACUGACAAAAGACACAUGCCUUUUCCUCCAGGAGAGCUGGUUACUAGUACUUACCAGCACACCAUUGGAAGGCAUUCCUCUUCUGUCUCCUGAUUGGCUGAUUUUAGAAGGCAGUUUGCUUUUGUCUUCCAGAGCAAACAAAAUUAGCAGAACCUAGCACAAACAGGUGAUAUGAAUAGAAGGCUCCAGUAAAGCCCUUCUUUAGAUACUUUUCCCUUACUAUAUUCAUCAUGUAUUCCAAGGAUUUCUCUUUUGAAUUCACAGACUUAUUGAAAAGCAAUCACUAAACUGUGAUCAGAUAUUGACAUUUUCAUGAGAUUAGUCCAUCAGAGGUUUUUCCUUUCAGAUAAGGUGAAUCUGAAGACUCCAUUUAACUAUUUGUUGAGCAUCUAGGGGUGGAGAUAACUAAAACAAACAAGAGCAGUAACUUAUGGGGCUACAUUUAUCAACAGAGAUGAUAUAAAUAAGCAUGUAGAUUAAAUAAAAAAAUAUUUUAGAUACUGGUAAAUGGUGAGAUGGAAAUAAAGCAGCCCAAUGUAGAAGAGUGACCAGGGCAGUGGGUUACUUUAAGUAGGCUGACCUGUGAAAGUCUCUCAGGGAGGAAGUAUUUGAAUUGAAAUCUAAAAAGAUGUAGCUGUGUUUAGAAUCAGAGUAGCAUUCCAGGUGAAGAACAACAAAAAGCCCCUGAGGCAAGAAUGAACUUGUUGGUCCAAGAACAGAGAGAAGGUCAGUGGAGCUAAAGCUCUGUGAGUUUAAGAAGGUGGUGUGGACAUGGGGCAGCACAGUAAGCAAAGGCCAGGGUGGGUAAAGUCCUUUCAGUGCUAAGAAGUCUGCCUUUCAUGACAAGAGCAAUAGGGAGUUCUGAAGAACCUUGAGAAAAAUUGAGAUAAUGAGGUAGAUACUUGAUCUAAAUUGGAGUUUAAAAGGAUUUUUUUUUUUUUUUUGGUGGAGAACAGAUUACAGGGAAUCAAAGUGGAGUCAAAAGACGUGAAGUGACUACUCCAGCAGAUAAUAGUGGUUUGAACUAGAGCAAAGGCGGGAGAGAUGAAGGGAAAUAGAAUAGGUAGUUGGUAUCUAUUUGAUAGGUGGAAGCAACAGAACUUGAGAUGAAGUAAAUGUUUAUGUAAGAAAGAGAAGAAGAAUGUACUGAAGUUCUUUUUCAAAUGUCAGGAACAUUUUAGAUAUUAUGUACAUCAAUUUAUUUCUAGUCUGAGGUAGAUCAUAAAGAAGGUUUUCUAUGUAAAGAAGAAAAGAAAAAUCUUUAUACUUAUUGCAAGGUGAAAGAAAGACAACGGUUCAUAUUGCAUUCUUUAUUUCAACACGUUCCUCCAGUGAUAAAUGACUAAUGCUGUUAUAUUAAGUUCUCAAAAUGCUUUGUAUUAUUAAUAAAAUGCAAUUUCAGUGCAGGAGGAAAAUAAUCUUUCAAUUAAAUCACCAAAUAAUUACUCUCAUAUAAAAAUACUAAAAUAUUAUCUAAAUUUACAAACUUAGUUUUGUAAAUUUAGAUAAUAAAUUUAGAUAAAUAAACUCAUAAGUUUCAGGUUUAUGAGUUUUUUGUCUUUAGUUUUUUUGUUUCCCUUCUAAUUUUUAAUCCAUUUCUCUGUUUUCUCUGGGUAUCUUUAGAAAAAAAUUUAAAAAAUAUAUCUUGGAAUAUAUUAGAAGACCAAGUUUCACUAAGGUUUUUGUUUUUACCACUCUCAGGCAAAGUGAUAGGAGAUUCCUAGACAGGAAAUCAUUUAGUGUCCAUUUAGUGCCCAGAAAUUAGAUGAUUGAAUAUCCUGAAAAAUAAAAUCCAAUAAAAAUGUCUGUAGGUAAAGUUAAAUAAAUAUUCUAUUGAGUCCAAACUGAGCUUUCAAGAAAUUAAAGAAAAUCUCCAGGAAGCAAAUGCAAAGGAGAAGCAAGCAAGAGAGUGGUGAGGUGACACUGCAUUUGCAGCUGCCUGAGGUUGUGGCCAACCUUAGCAGCCAGAGGCUUGUUGUUGCUAUUGGUUUUCAUUACUUUAUUAAGGUAUAAUAAAUAUAUACUAUAGGGGGAAACUGUAAAUGUCCAAUACACAUAUUUAUAUUUCCUGGUAAACACCAAACAGAAUAAGAUAUAAGAAAUUUCCAAUACCAUUCUUUUGACUUUUAUUAGCUUAAAAAGGUUUUAUGUGUUCUUAAGCUUUAUACAUUAUGUAAUCAUCAGUUUAGCAUCUUUGUAUGUUUCAUGCAUCAGUAAGCUGUCUUUUCUUAAUGUAUGCCAGUUUUAUGUCACUGUGACCAAAAUACCUGACAAGACCAACUUAGAGGAAGAAAAUUUCAUUGUGGCUCAGGGUUUCUGAGGUUUUAGUCCAUGGUUGGCUGGUUCCAUUGCUUUGGGCCUGAGAUAGGGAGAGCGCAAUGGUGGAAGGGCUGGGGUAGAAGAACUUGCUCAGCUAGGAAGCAGAGAGAGGGAGGAGCAGGGUGGGUGGGUGUGACAAGAUAUAGUCCCCAAGGACAAGUCUCCAGUGACCCACCUCCUCCCCACUUCCUUACAGUUACUAUCUAGUACAGUAGUCCUUAAAAAUUACUAAUCCAUCAUAUGGGUUAAUCUGAUGAUGUUACACUCUCAACAUCUAAUCAUUUCACCUCCUGCCACUAAUACAGGAGCUUUGGGGGGGGGAACACCUUGUAUCUGAACCAUAACAUUAUGUCUUAAACCUACACCACAAUAUUUAUUUUUUUCUAAAUUUCAUGAAGAUUUGGGCUGUUUCCUUUUAGAGGCUACUAUGAAUAAAGCAUUUAUGAGCGUUCACAAAUGGAUUUUCUGAUGGUUAUCAAUAUUCUUUCCCAUGUAUAUAUGCCCAAGAAUAAAAUUUUAAGUCACAGACUGUGUGUGUUUAGCAUUAAUAGAUACUGACAAGUAUUAUGAAAGUAUUGGCAUAAAUUUAUGUUUCAUUUGCAAUAUAUGAGAAUUCCUUUUGCUGCAUGUCCUUGAAAUCAUUGAUUAUUGUCAGUCUUCUGAUGGUUGUAUACUGAUAUUCAUUGCUAUUUUAAUUUGAGUUUCUCUGAUGAAUAACCAAAAAAAUAACUGGCAUCUCAAGGCAUUGAUAAGAUAAAUAUUCUCAUUUGCCAUCCUAUUAUUGUCUUAAUGUCUUAGGUCUUUUUAAUUCCUCUAUUCCUGCCAUACAGCGUACUUUUGUGUUAAAUAAUUUCUAGUGUUCUAUGUUAAUCACUUGUCAUUUCUUCUACUAUAUUUUAAAUUUCUUUUCUUUUUUUUAGAGAGAGAGAGAGAGAGAAUUUUAAUAUUUAUUUUUUUUUUUAGUUUUCGGCGGACACAACAUCUUUGUUUGUAUGUAGUGCUGAGGAUAGAACCCGGGCCGCACACAUGCCAGGCAAGCGCGCUACUGCUUGAGCCACAUCCCCAGCCCUAAAUUUAAUUUUCUUAGUGGUUGCCCUGGGAAUUGCAAUGAACUUUUUUUAAAAAAAUAAUUUUUUAGGUGUAGAUGGACACAACACAAUGCCUUUACUUUUAUGUGAUGCUGAGGAUCCAACCCGGGUCCCGCCUAUGUUAGGCGAGCGCUCUACCACUGAGCCACAGUCCCAGCCCUUAACUUUUUAAUUUAUUACAAUCUUUGGAUUAAUUCCAAUUCAAUUUUAAUAGUAUGAAAACUUUGUAUAUAUUUCCUUUCUCUGCCCAGACCUUUUUGUUUUUAUACAAAUUACAUAUUUAAACAUUAUAUACUCACUUAUACAGAUUUUAAAUUGUCUCAUGCAGUUAUCUUUUAAAUCAUAUAGAAAAAAAGAGAAGUAACAAACAGAAAACAUAUUUAUACUCUCUUCAAUAUUUACCUAUUUGGUUAUUUUUAUCUAUGAUCCUAUUUCCUCAUAUGGUUUUAAGUUACUUUCUUUAUUCUCAUUGCUUUGUGGGUCUCCUAACUUUGCGUUGAUAACUGGAUACUUAAAAAUCGUGUAAUCCAGCAGCCUUGGAAAUCAGAUUCCCAGUGGAUUUGUCAUUGCUGCCCUUUGUUCUUGUAUUUGUUUCUGUCAUUUGUUUAGUGACUUUCCUGGAUUGAAUCAGUAUAACUUCUGUUCUAGCCAUGUGUGGACACUGAACAUCUCUGAUCAUUUAACAUGGUGAUCAGCAAAUGACUGGACAGAGAAGUCUUUAGAUGACUUGGACCCAAAGAUCUCCCAGUUGUGGCUAAGGGGUUCUAUUUAUUUAUUGGGGCAUGGCUUUAAGACUGAGACAGGCACUUUACAACUCUUCACUUCUUUCUUAGGCAAAGCUUCAAGGUCAAGCAGAGAUAAAAGCUCAGAGCAUGUGCAUGGUUUGGGUUGCUCAGAGCCCUGGGCAUGCAUGUUGCCUUAUAGAUUCUCAGAAAUGUAUGGGAGCUUCAUAAAAUGUACUAUGGUCAUCUCAUACCUCAACUUCUUUUUUUAAACCUUUUUUAAAAUUUUUAAUCAUUUUUUUUCUCCAAAUCUAAUUACUUCCUCAUAUACUUGAAAUGUCAAAACUAUUGCAAACCAACCCAGGGAAAGGUCUGUUUGCUCUGGGUAAGGUAUGAGUUAGGCUAAAUGAAAACAGCCUUGCACAUGUGUUUUCCAGGAAAUGACUGGACAGAUCAACUAGUGACACUCUUGGAAGCUCCAAACUUGUUCUGUCCUUCUAGUGUCUUCUGCCUUCAGGUUUUCUCUGUAUCGUAGGUAGGUGAGUUUUUGGAGUUGUUUAGAUCUGGAAUGUCCCUGAUAGGCUCAUUCGUUCAGGACUUGGUCCUUAAUAUAGCAAUGUUCAGAGAUGGAUUUCUGGAGAUGAUUGAUAUGAGAGCAAUUGCAUCAAUGGAUUGAUGGAUUCAGCUAUGAAUUCAAUGGUUUGAUAUAAUAUAAUGCUAUCGGGAGGUGGUGGAAACUGUAGAAAAUUGGACCUCGUUGAAGAGAGUGGGUCCUUUGCAGCAUGCCCUUGCAGAGUAUAAUUGUCCCUAGGCCCUUCCUCUCUUUGUCUCCAUCUGUAUUUCUGCCCCCCAAUCCACUUCCUGGCUGUCAUGAGAUAAAGAACUUUCUUUCACCACACCCUUCCACCAUGAUGCUCUGCUUCACCUCAGGUCAAAGCAACUGUUGACUGAAAAUUUUGAAACAAUGAGUCAAAAUAAAAUUUUUCUCCUUUAAAUUGUUUCCUCAGGUAUUUUAUCACAAAUGAGAAAAAGGUGACUAACAGUUUUCAAGGCCACUGUGGAGCUUGCUAUUCUUACUAAGAUUCAGUCAUUUCCUUGUUUAAAAAAAUUCUCCUUUGGUGAAUUCUCAUAGUUCUAAAAAAGUUGGUUUAAAUCAUUUUUGCCAGAGUUUCCAUUCUUUUAUAGAGAAGUGAAUUUUCAGAAGUCCUUAAUCUGAUAUUUCCACUGAUGUCUUUUUGUGUGUGUAUGUGGUAUUGAGGAUUGAACUACACAAGUGCUCUCCUGCUGAUUUACAUCCCAAGUCCUCCACGGACAUCUUGCAGGUCCACAUUCAUUAAGUCUUUGGCCAGAAAUGACAAAAUGAAAUAAGUAUUUUUAUCUUAUUUUAAGUCAUUCACUUAGAAGACUGAGAAGUAACAUAAUUAAUCAUUGCAAAUUUUAUGGUAAAAUUUUAUUGAUGCAUUAUAGCUGAACAUAAUGAUGGGAUUUGUUAGAUAUUUGUACAUGCACACAAUAUAGCAAUAUAAUUUGGUCAAUAUCACUCCACAGCACUUCCCCCUUCCUCCUUUCCUCUCACUUGCUGGUUUCCUGCCUUUACUGAUAUCCCUUUGAUCUUCAUGAUCACCCCUGCUUCCCACAACUUUCUUUUCCUUUUGUUCUCUGGCUUCCACAUAUGAGAGUAAAUGGAUGACUCUUGAAGUUUUGAGUUUGACUUAUUUUGCUUAACACAAUGAUCUCUAGCUCCACCUAUUUUUAUUCAAAUAGCAUAAUUUCAUUUUUCUUUAUGGCUGCAUAAAACUCUAUUUUGUAUGUAUACCAUAUUUUCCUUACAUAUUCAUCCCUUGAUGGACACUUAGGCUGGGUCUAUAGUGUGGCUAUUGUGAAUUGUGCUGCUAUAAAUAUGAGUAUACAUGUAUCACUAUAGUAUGAUGACCUUAAUUUUUGAGUAUAAAUAUCAAAAAGUGGUAUAGCUGGGUCAUUCUUCAUGACUGCUAUUUGACUGGUGUGAGAUGAAAUCUCAGUGUAGUUUUGAUUUGAACUUCCCUAAUCAUUAAUGAUGAACAUUUUUUUCAUGUAUUUUAUGGCCAGUUGUAUUUCUUCUCUUAAGAAGUGUCUGUAUAAUUUAUUUGCCUGUUUAUUAUUUGGGUUAUUUUAUUUUUGGUUUAAAGUUAUUUGGGGGUUCUUUAUAUAUUCUAGACAUUAAUCCUCUGUCAAAAGACUAGCUAGCAAUAAUUUUCUUUCAUUCUGUAUGUUCUCUCUUCACAUUCCUAAUUUUUUUUUUGCCAUGAAAAAGCUUUUUAAUUUUAUACCAUACCAUUUAUUAACUCUUGGUAUUAUUUUUUGAACUUUAUGGGUUCUAUUGAGAAAGCUGUUGCCUAUGCCUAUAUGCUCGAGUGUUGACUCUACCCUUUCUUUUAGGAGUUGCAUAGUUUCUGUUCUAAUCCCUGGGUCUUUGAUCCAUUUUGAGUCAAUUUUUUGAUUAGGGCAAAAGAUAAUGGUCUAGUUUCAUUCUUAUACAUAUGGAUAAUCAGUUUUGCCAGCAUCAUUUUUAAAAAGGCUGUCUUUUCUUCAAUUUGUGUUUUUGCCACCUUUGUCAAGGAUCAUAUGACUAUAUUUGUAUGCAUUGUCUCUGUGCCUUCUGUUCUUUGCCAUUGGUCUACAUGUGUGUUUUUAUGCCAGUACCAUGCAGUUUUUGUUACUAUAGCUAUUAUAAUGUAGUAUAAUUUGAAGUCAGGUAUUGUGAUACCUCCAGCAUUACUUUUUUCUUUAAGGGGGUGGGGGGUCGUUAUAAUUGCUUUAGGCUCUUCUGAGUCUCUAGUUUUUCAAGUGAAUUUGAGGAAUAUUUUUUUCAGUUCUGUGAAGAAUGUCUUUAGUAUUUUGAUGAGGAUUGCUUUGAAUCUCUAAAUUGAUUUUGGUAGUAUGGCCAUUUUAACAAUAUUAAUUCUGCCUAUCCAUGAACAUGGGCAGACUUUCUGUCUUCUUAAGUCUUCUUUCAAUUUCUAUCUUCCGUGUACUAUAGUUUUCACUAUAGAGCUCUCUCACCUCUUUGGGAAGAUGUGUCAGAUUUAUUCAUAGGGAUUUUUUUGAGGCUAUUGUGAAUAAAAUUAUUUUCCUGAUUUCUUUCUCAGAAGAUUCAUUGUUGAUAUACAUGAAAGAGGCUGAUUUUUGUAUGUUGAUUUUGUAACCUGCUACUUUACUUAAAUUUUUUCAUUAGCAUUAGCAGUCUUUUGGCAGAGCUUUUGGAUCUUUUAAGUAUAGGAUUAUAUCAUCUGCAAACAGUGAUAAUUUGACUUCUUAUUUUUAAACAUUUUAUUUUCUUCUCUUACUUAAUCGCUCAGGCUAGAAUUUCUUUUACCAUGAAAGAAUGUUGAAUGUAGUCAAAGACCUUCUCUGCAUCUAUGGAGAUAACUAAAUGACUUUUAUUCUUAAUUCUAUUUAUGUGAUGAAUACAUUUAUUGAUUUGUGUGUUAAACCAUCCUUAUUUAGAAUAAAAUCAACUUAGGAUGUACAAUCUUCUUAAUAUUUUGUUGAACAUGAUUUGCUAACAUUUUAUUAAGUAUUUUGGCAUCUUAUUUCAUCAGAGAUAUUGGUCUGUAGCUUUCUUUUCUUGAUGUGUCCUUAUGUGAUUUUGGUUUACACUGGCUUCAUGAAAUGAAUUUGGAAGUAUUCUGUCCCUUUAUAUUUCAUGAGAUAAUUUGAGGAAUAUUGGUAUUAGUUCUUCUUUAAAAGACUGGUAGAAGAAUUCAGCUGAGAAUCCAUUUGGCCCUGGGUUUUUCUUCAUUAGAAGAUUUUUUUCUUUUUUGUUUCUGCUUCUAUCAUUACAUGUUAUUGGUUGAAAGUUUUGCACGGAGGAUGCUGAUGGUUCCGCUUGGGCACCUGGUAGUCCUGCAUGAGUGAGUUGUUGGGAGACCUACGCUGACGCUGAGGCCUGGAGCCCUGCACAGGCACAGUGGCCAUGAUUCCUGUGUGGAAGCAGGAAUAUCACUCACAGAGAAAAAGUAUUCUCACUUUUUAAGUCCCAGGUCACGGAGUGACACAUAAUGCUGCCUCCAUCUGGCCCACCAUUUUGGAUCCUUGACUCUGAUCUUAAUUAUUUCUUUCUUUCUACUGACUGUGGAAUUGUUCUUUUUACCAAUAUGAAGUGACUGUCUUUGUCUUUUCUGACUAAUUUUGGUGUGAAAUUUGCUUUGUCAGUUAUUAGAGUAGCUACUCUUGCUUAUUCUCAGGCUCCAUUAACAUGGUAUAUAAAUUUCCAUUCCUUCUUUUUCAAGGGCGUUGUGAUGCGUCCUUGAAUUGUUAAUUUGGGAUAUUUCCGAUUUUCUUAUGUGGGCAUUGAUAGCUAUAAAUUGUCCUCUUAGAACUGCCUUUAUAAUUUCUCAGAGCUUCUGGUAUAUUGGGUGACUAUUGUCAUUUGAUUCUAAGAAUUUUAAAAUUUCUCUUCAGAUUUCUUCUAUUAUAUAUUAAUCAUUCAAAAAUGUACUAUUUAGUUUUUCUGUGUUUAUAUAGUUUUUGUAGGGCUUUGUUGUAUCUAUUUCUAAUUUAAUUUCAUUUCAGUCUGAUAAGAUGCAAGAAAUUAAUUUUUUUUUUAAUUUGCUAAAGAGUUGUUUGUGGCUAAAUUAUGGUCUAAUUUGAAGAAGCUUCCAUGAUCCACUGAGAAGAAAGUGUAGUCAACUAUUGUUGAAUAAAAUAUUCUGUAGUUGUCUGUUAAGUCCAUCUGUUUUAUAACAUUUUUCAGGUCCAU